UUGACGAGAAACCCACAGGAGACCAUAUUUUAUCUGCUGUGGCAAUCGUGAGCGAGGACCAUCAGUUUGAUGAGGUUACAUCGCCAGAGACGGAGUAAACAUCAAGACGAUUCUACCAUAGCCUUCCUGCCACAACAGUGUCACAACAUCAGCCACAAUAUCGGCAUCAAUCAACUAGAUCUACUACGCAAGGAUUGUGAUCAUCAUGCACUCACCUGGGUUUUGAGGGUGCAACAAACAGCGAUCAUGAUAGCCUUUCCAUAGCAGCAUCGGUCAGACUUGACCUUAUAACCCUGAAGAGAGAAGGCUCCUCAUUGGUGGAUCUUGGAACUCAGACUGGAGGGGGAUUAGUUGUGCUCUUUGGGUUUUUUCCCCCAACUGAUUAACCUUUUGUAGGCAAAUUUAUGAGAAAACUUCUGAUUUGACCUGUUACUCUAAAUAUUUUUAUUCAAUUAAUUUUAAUUGAAAUAAAUUAUAUUGUUUUUGGAAAGAGUGCGAAAUAAAUUUUUAGCUGGGAAUGAUUAGCUAUGACUUAAUGCUCAAAAUUAUAUGAAGUUGAAGAUGUAAAAUGAAUUUUUCUUGAGGAUUGGUCAAGCAAGAGCAAUGAUUUAUUUGUAUUUGCAAAUGUGUGUAUGUAGUUUUGGAGUUGCUUCACAAGAUUUUAUCCUAUCAACCUAUCUGGGUUUUUAGAGGCCAAAUCAAAUUAAGUUUCAACCGCAUACUUUAUUAUGACACAGUUGACCAAAACUUAAAACUAAUUUGUAUGUUAAACUAAAUCUUCCCUGUGCAAGUUUUAUUUGUGCGUUCUUGGUUAAGUGAACAAUAAUUGGCCAGAAUACCCUUACAUUAAAGGAAUCAUACAGUAAACAACUAAGUAUUAAAGACUGACAGAUAAAAACUGGUUAGUUGUUAGGUGUUUAGUAUUAGUACGAUCUUUAAUCCAAGUAAGCUUUUGGAUAUUAAUAAUUGGCUAGGUAAUACCGUUUGGAUAGAUGCAAACUAACAAAUACUAAUUUGCAUGCGAUCAUAAAUCCUUAAAUUCAAUGUCUUAUUAACCUGCAAAGCACUUACUAAUAUUGUUUAUUUUAGUACCCGUUCAUUUCUUUUCAUUUAAUGACAUACAUUCAGUUUAAUAUGACCUCACUUUUAAACCCAUUUAUAAUUUUACUUCCUAUUUGUUUGACUAUUUUAAAAUAGUUAACCCUAACGUCCUAGCCAUUACUUUGGGAUGAAGAACGGAGUACGGUACUUCAGAUACUAGUAGUGUUGUGCACACUUAUAUGCUGAAGUAGAUCAUUCUAUAGUUUACUGCUAGUAGUAUUUUGUAGCUUUAGGUCAGGUUUUUAAUUGAAACUUUUUGUUUCAUUUCUUGUCUUCUUUGAGAGACCACAUUAAGUGUCAAUGGGUUUACCCUGAUUAAAGAUCAGAAAUAAUAAAUACAAAUCUCAUAAUUUACUUACCAUAGGCCAAGUAAAAAAAAGUUUAGC